UAGUUUAUUUUGUCACUAACAAUACUUAUUUUUCAGGCACAUAUAAAUUCAUCAUAUCAAGAAAUGUAUGAAAUUCACAAAUGUCAAAUAUCAUCUCUCGGAAAGUCUCAUUUUAUAUAAAAAAAGCUUCUUCAGGGGUAAGCUUCUGAGCAAUUGUUUCAGAAGAGUUAGUAUUUGAAGUAUAUGAUCCAUUUGUCAAGUUUACAUAAUGGAUUUCAGAUUAAAUUACAUGCAAACUCACAGAAUGAGAAACAUCCUUAAUCUUGGUGUAUGAACAUAAGAAUUUCUAGAUAACAAACGGUUCUUGGGGGCAUAUAUAAAUUUAUCAGAUCAAGAAAUUUUUUUCAGAGUAAGUUCAUAAAGCAAUUCGUUCAGGAGAGUUUCCAUGUGAAGUAGAUGAUCUAUUUCUCUUCUUUUCAACUGAGUACAUCAGAUUUCUGACAACGUUCAAGCAAUUGGGUAGUGUAUGGAGAUGAUUUUCUUAGUCUAGAUUUAUGGCAAAAUACGUUUUGAGAUAAGUUAUUCUGUUGGAAUUAUAUAAUGAUUAUUGAAACACAAUCUAUGAGUGAGCUUUUGCGUUAAAAUUCUAUGUUUAUAGACAUUUGUCGAGUUUUCUCAUUCAAGGUAAGAUUUUUCUCUUAUCGUAGAGAGAGGGA